rnacentral:rRNA from 1 species
AGAGUUUGAUCCUGGCUCAGGAUGAACGCUGGCGGCGUGCCUAAUACAUGCAAGUCGAGCGCCUUCACUGUGUGCUUCUCGGUUAAGAGGAACAUAUUGUGAAGGAGCGGCGGACGGCUGAGUAACGCGUGGGAACAUACCCCAAAGUGAGGGAUAAGCACCGGAAACGGUGUCUAAUACCGCAUAUGAUCUUCGGAUUAAAGCCUUCGGGCGCUUUGGGAGUGGCCUGCGUAAGAUUAGCUAGUUGGUGAGGUAAAGGCUCACCAAGGCGACGAUCUUUAGUUGGUCUGAGAGGAUGACCAGCCAGACUGGAACUGAGACACGGUCCAGACUCCUACGGGAGGCAGCAGUAAGGAAUCUUCCACAAUGGGCGAAAGCCUGAUGGAGCAACGCCGCGUGCAGGAUGAAGGUUUUCGGAUCGUAAACUGCUUUUAUUAGUGAAGAAUAUGACGGUAACUAAUGAAUAAGGAUCGGCUAACUACGUGCCAGCAGCCGCGGUCAUACGUAGGAUCCAAGCGUUAUCCGGAGUGACUGGGCGUAAAGAGUUGCGUAGGUGGUGUGUAAAGUGAAUAGUGAAAUCUGGUGGCUCAACCAUACAGGCUAUUAUUCAAACUCACACACUCGAGAACAGCAGAGGUAACUGGAAUUUCUGAAGUAGGGGUAAUAUCCGUAGAUAUCAGAAGGAACACCAAUGGCGUAGGCAGGUUACUGGGCUGUUUCUGACACUGAGGCACGAAAGCGUGGGGAGCGAACCGGAUUAGAUACCCUGGUAGUCC